GCUCAGUUGGUAAAAUACAAGACUCUUAACCUUGUGGUCGUGGGUUCGAGCCCCACAAUGAGCG
rfam:Zea mays cultivar B73 chromosome 1, whole genome shotgun sequence.